UAGCCAUAUCAUGUUGGAAUACCAGUUCUCAUACAAUCACUGGAGUUAAGCAAUGUUGAGCCUGGUCAGUAUUUUGAUGGGUGACUGCUUGGGAGUACCAGGUGCUGUAA